CAGAGACAUAAAAGGACAUGGAUAUGAAGCCUCUGAUGAUUCUCCUCCUGCUAGCAGGUGAACAAGGUUUUUGCUGGGACGCCAGGAUUCCGUCAUUGCAUUGUCAACUUAUUCAGGAAUGGGAGUGGAUCUGUAGUUACUGACAUGACCCUCGUGUACGACAAGCAGUCUUCGGUUCCCAGCUCAAGCAGCGCACAGACAAUUCUCACCAACAGUUCCACCUCCCUGAACAUUCUACCAGGCAGCAUCAGUGUUGUGUCAGGAAGUGCUCCCCGACCCACUGCCUUCGCUCUGGCUGCUUUGGCUCUGUUAAUGGUACAGCUGCUAGGCUAGCUAAUAGCCUGGGGCAUAGCUGCUGUGGCUCUGCUAGCUGCUGUGGCUCUGCUAGCUAACCAAUAGCCUGGGACAUAGCUGCUGUGGCUCUGCUAGCUGCUGGCUAACCAAUAGCCUGGGACAUAGCUGCUGUGGCAUUGGUUUAACCAAUCAACGGUUUCCCAUCUCUCAUAGGAUUCUAGCUUUUAGUUGCUACACCCAUUUUUUGACUUAUAAAUUAUAUCUUCCCAUUGAUUCUAGAAGAAUAUAACAUAUGAAUGCCUCAUGAGUUUAGCUCAACUGUCCUACCUCAUCAGAACCCAAAAUAUAAACUUGUUUUACUCCAAUGUUUCUAAACAAUGCUAACAAACACUGUAUAAUUUUAAAA
rnacentral:lncRNA from 1 species